rnacentral:rRNA from 1 species
UACGUAGGGUGCAAGCGUUGUCCGGAAUUAUUGGGCGUAAAGAGCUCGUAGGCGGUUUGUCGCGUCUGCUGUGAAAACCCGAGGCUCAACCUCGGGCCUGCAGUGGGUACGGGCAGACUAGAGUGCGGUAGGGGAGAUUGGAAUUCCUGGUGUAGCAGUGGAAUGCGCAGAUAUCAGGAGGAACACCGAUGGCGAAGGCAGAUCUCUGGGCCGUAACUGACGCUGAGGAGCGAAAGCAUGGGGAGCGAACAGG